UUGUUUAAAGUAUGCUCAUAUCUUGUCAACUGUCUGAAAUGGGCCAUUUUGAUUAUCACUAAAUUUUUUUUCUCCUGCUGAUAAUUCAUCUUAAUGAAUUAGCAUCUUAGAGUUGGUAAGGCAACUUCCACCUUUUCGUGUUCUCUCUCUGU